rnacentral:rRNA from 1 species
ACUGCGAGUGAAGCGGCAAAAGCUCAAAUUUGAAAUCUGGUACCUUUGGGUGCUCGAGUUGUAAUUUGGAGAGGCAACUUCGGAGGAGGCGCUGGCCUAAGUUCCUUGGAACAGGACGUCACAGAGGGUGAGAAUCCCGUGCUUGGCUGGCUGUCCUCCUUCAUGUGAAGUGACUUCGACGAGUCGAGUUGUUUGGGAAUGCAGCUCAAAAUGGGUGGUAAACUCCAUCUAAGGCUAAAUAUUGGCGAGAGACCGAUAGCGCACAAGUAGAGUGAUCGAAAGAUGAAAAGCACUUUGAAAAGAGAGUUAAACAGUACGUGAAAUUGUUGAAAGGGAAGCGCUUGAGACCAGACUCGGUGUUAGGUGAUCAGCGGUUGCUUUUGCUCCGUGCACUUGCCUUUUAUCGGGCCAGCAUCAGUUGUGACGGUGGGAUAAAGACUCAGGGAAUGUGGCUCUCUUCGGGGAGUGUUAUAGCCCUGGGUGUAAUGCCGCCUGUUACGACUGAGGACCGCGCUUCGGCUAGGAUGCUGGCAUAAUGGUCUUCAGCGACCCGUCUUGAAACACGGACCAAGGAGUCUAACAUCUAUGCGAGUGUUCGGGUGUAAAACCCCUACGCGUAAUGAAAGUGAACGGAGGUGGGAACUCUUCGGAGUGCACCAUCGACCGAUCCUGAUGUCUUCGGAUGGAUUUGAGUAGGAGCAUAGCUGUUGGGACCCGAAAGAUGGUGAACUAUGCCUGAAUAGGGUGAAGCCAGAGGAAACUCUGGUGGAGGCUCG